UACGGGGGGCGCAAGCGUUGUUCGGAAUUACUGGGCGUAAAGCGCACGUAGGCGGCUUUGUAAGUUAGAGGUGAAAGCCCGGAGCUCAACUCCGGAAUUGCCUUUAAGACUGCAUCGCUUGAAUCCGGGAGAGGUGAGUGGAAUUCCGAGUGUAGAGGUGAAAUUCGUAGAUAUUCGGAAGAACACCAGUGGCGAAGGCGGCUCACUGGACCGGUAUUGACGCUGAGGUGCGAAAGCGUGGGGAGCAAACAGG
rnacentral:rRNA from 1 species